rnacentral:rRNA from 1 species
GUGGGGAAUUUUGCGCAAUGGGGGAAACCCUGACGCAGCGACGCCGCGUGGAGGAUGAAGGCCCUUGGGUCGUAAACUCCUGUCAGGUGGGAAGAAAGGUCUUCGCGGACAAUGCGAGGGCCUUGACUGUACCACCGGAGGAAGCCCCGGCUAACUCCGUGCCAGCAGCCGCGGUAAUACGGAGGGGGCGAGCGUUGUUCGGAAUCAUUGGGCGUAAAGGGCGCGUAGGCGGCCGACCAAGUCGGGUGUGAAAUCCCUCGGCUCAACCGAGGAACUGCACUCGAUACUGGCUGGCUAGAGUCCGGGAGGGGAUGGUGGAAUUCCCAGUGUAGCGGUGAAAUGCGUAGAUAUUGGGAAGAACACCGGUGGCGAAGGCGGCCAUCUGGACCGGCACUGACGCUGAGGCGCGAAAGCCAGGGGAGCGAAUGGGAUUAGAAACCCUGGUAGUCC